rnacentral:rRNA from 1 species
UAACACAUGCAAGUCGCGGGAGAAUCUGAGUCUUCGGACGCAGAGGAGACCGGCGGAUGGGUGAGUAACGCGUAGGUAAUCUGCCGUUAGGACUGGGAUAACCCACCGAAAGGUGAGCUAAUACCGGAUGAUGCAGCGGGGCCGCAUGGCCACAGUUGUUAAAUCCCUCGGGAGCCUAACGAUGAACCUGCGUGCCAUUAGCUAGUUGGUAGGGUCAAAGCCUACCAAGGCGAUGAUGGCUAGGGGGUCUGAGAGGAUGAUCCCCCACACUGGGACUGAGACACGGCCCAGACUCCUACGGGAGGCAGCAGUGAGGAAUCUUGCGCAAUGGGGGCAACCCUGACGCAGCCACGCCGC